rnacentral:SRP_RNA from 1 species
ACUGGGCGCGGUGGCGCAUGCCUGUAGUCCCAGCUACUCAGGAGGCUGAGAUGGGAGGAUCGUUUGAGCCCAGGAGUUCUGGGCUGUGGUGCGGUAUGCCGAUCAGGUAUCCGCACUAAGUUUAGCAUCAAUAUGGUGACCUCCCGGGAGCGGGGAACCACCAGGUUGCCUAAGGAGGGGUGAACCGGCCCACGUUGGAAACGGAUCAGGUCAAAACUCCCAUGCUAAUCAGUAGUGGGAUCAUGCCUGUGAAUAGCCACUGCACUUCAGCCUGGGCAGCAUAGUGAGACCCCAUCUCA